rnacentral:lncRNA from 1 species
ACACAAUAUACCACUCCUUUAGCCCCCCACAAAAAAAAAAAAAAUUAUCUUCAAUUUUUGACCCCCCAUUUUAAAGAAAAAAAACCCUUUUUACAUCCAAAAUAAAAAUUUUACCAACAUUUUUGUGUGAUUUUUAACUUCAAAAUUAAGAAGAAAAAAACACACUUUGUAUUUAUACCCCCCAUAAAAAAAAAUAAAAAAUUUUUUUUUGUAAAGAGCAC